rnacentral:rRNA from 1 species
UGGGGAAUAUUGCACAAUGGGCGCAAGCCUGAUGCAGCCAUGCCGCGUGUAUGAAGAAGGCCUUCGGGUUGUAAAGUACUUUCAGCGGGGAGGAAGGCGAUAAGGUUAAUAACCUUGUCGAUUGACGUUACCCGCAGAAGCAGCACCGGCUAACUCCGUGCCAGCAGCCGCGGUAAUACGGAGGGUGCAAGCGUUAAUCGGAAUUACUGGGCGUAAAGCGCACGCAGGCGGUCUGUCAAGUCGGAUGUGAAAUCCCCGGGCUCAACCUGGGAACUGCAUUCGAAACUGGCAGGCUAGAGUCUUGUAGAGGGGGGUAGAAUUCCAGGUGUAGCGGUGAAAUGCGUAGAGAUCUGGAGGAAUACCGGUGGCGAAGGCGGCCCCCUGGACAAAGACUGACGCUCAGGUGCGAAAGCGUGGGGAGCAAACA